rnacentral:pre_miRNA from 1 species
UUCCCUUUGUCAUCCUUUGCCUAGGCCUCUGAGUGAGGCAAGGACAGCAAAGGGGGGC